AAACACCUACAAUUGUAUAUACACCAUCCUUCACAAAGUGUGCCCUUCUUUAACAAUCCAAAUCCCCAAAAGACCAUGGUAAAUAAGUUCUCCACUUGGAGAAGCCCUCCAGACUACAACAGCAAUAACAACAAACCCAAUAAAAUCCCAUAAAGUGGGUCUGGGGAGGGUAGAGUAUACACAUGCCUUACCACUAUCUCUCAGAGAUAGAGAGUAUGCCUCUGAAAGAUCCUCGGCUCGAGUAAAUCAAAACAGUCUGAUAUGAUUGUAUACUUAUCUCCAGACUCCAAGUAUAAAAAAGGGAUUGUAUGAUAGCAGUCUGGUGAAAGGUGAUUCACAGCUUUAUAA
rnacentral:misc_RNA from 1 species